ACCUGGAUGGCUCAGUUGGUUAAGUGCCUGACUUCGGCUCAGGUCAUGAUCUCACGUUCUGUGGGUUCAAGCCCCGCAUCGGGCU
rnacentral:tRNA from 1 species